rnacentral:rRNA from 1 species
GAGUUUGAUCCUGGCUCAGGAUGAACGCUAGCGGCAGGCUUAACACAUGCAAGUCGAACGGUAACAGGAAAGAGCUUGCUUUUUUGCUGACGAGUGGCGCACGGGUGCGUAACGCGUAUACAAUCUACCUUUUACAGGGGGAUAGCCUUUAGAAAUGAAGAUUAAUACCCCAUAGUAUAUAUAGAUGGCAUCGUUUAUAUAUUAAAGAUUUAUUGGUAAAAGAUGAGUAUGCGUUCUAUUAGCUAAAUGGUGUGGUAACGGCACACCAUGGCAACGAUAGAUAGGGGCCCUGAGAGGGGGAUCCCCCACACUGGUACUGAGACACGGACCAGACUCCUACGGGAGGCAGCAGUGAGGAAUAUUGGACAAUGGGCGAGAGCCUGAUCCAGCCAUGCCGCGUGCAGGAAGACUGCCCUAUGGGUUGUAAACUGCUUUUAUACAGGAAGAAACACUCCCUCGUGAGGGAGCUUGACGGUACUGUAAGAAUAAGGAUCGGCUAACUCCGUGCCAGCAGCCGCGGUAAUA